rnacentral:rRNA from 1 species
CCUACGGGAGGCAGCAGUGAGGAAUAUUGGUCAAUGGCCGCAGGGCUGAACCAGCCAAGUCGCGUGAGGGAUGACGGUCCUCUGGAUUGUAAACCUCUUCUGUCAGGGAGCAAAGGGCGCCACGUGUGGCGCUUUGCGAGUACCUGAAGAUAAAGCAUCGGCUAACUCUGUGCCAGCAGCCGCGGUAAUCCGGAGGAUGCGAGCGUUAUCCGGAUUUAUUGGGUGUAAGGGGUGCGCAGGCGGAAUGUCAAGUCAGCGGUAAAAUUUCGGGGCUCAACCCCGUCGUGCCGUUGAAACUGGCGUUCUUGAGUGAGCGAGAAGUAUGCGGAAUGCGUGGUGUAGCGGUGAAAUGCAUAGAUAUCACGCAGAACUCCGAUUGCGAAGGCAGCAUACCGGCGCUCAACUGACGCUCAUGCACGAAAGCGUGGGUAUCGAACAGGAUUAGAUACCCGUGUAGUC